rnacentral:misc_RNA from 1 species
GGCAAAUUGAAAUAUUUUGAAGCAGAGUGAAGUGGCUAGAUGCAGCAAAAGUCGGUCGGUCGGUCGCGUAGACUAUGACUGCAUAGCUUAUAGCGCAUCCCUUUUAUCUCCAUCGACAAAACUAGCCCAUGGGCUUUGCAAUGGGAAGCUCCCACCUGUUGCAGUCUUACUUUCUCCCUUCUUCUUCUUUCUCCUCUUCUCAUUCCCAUUCUGUACUUCUUAAUGCUAAGAACUGUAAUGGGAAGACCAAGAAAAAGAGGGCAACCAUUGUUGCUUGUACGCGCCAAGAAGAUCCAGACGAUAUCGUUUUUAGCAAGAAGAGAGCAGUUCUCUUUGUGGGUAUUACGGUUCUUCCCUUCUUGCAACUCAGGGCCAGAGCUAUUGAAGGUUCAUUUACAAAAGAAAGUGAGCUCAAGACACCUGAAGAUAACUCAAAAGAACAGGUAUGAAUCUCUGCUUCGUCUACAAAUAAAUCCAGACAAGUAACUUUUGGUAUUUUUGAUUUUAUAUUUUUUGAUUUUGUAC